AGUCCAUGGUGUGGGCAUUGUCUGAGCAUAUUAUUAAAUCUAUCCCAUGCUUCAAAUAAUGAUUCAAAAUUUGACUGUCUUAAACUUGCUAUCAAAUUUUUCAUAUG